AUCUAUGACCAUCCUACCCUGAAACAAGCCUGAUCCCAUUUGAUCUUAGAAGCUAAGCAGGGUCGGGCCUGGUUAGUACUCGAAUGGGAGACCACCUAGGUAGACCAAGUGCUGUAGGCG
ensembl:rRNA 5S_rRNA 5S ribosomal RNA